CCCCCGAUGCAACCGGCGACCCACCCCACCCAUCCCUGACCCAACCACCGCCCCCUCCUACCACCUUCUUCCACGCGUCAGAGCCCCGCCGGAGCCACCCCGCCGCCGGCCACCGCGCCCCAGCUCGCCUCGCACCGUCCCUGCCCCUCCUCGCCGCCCCACUUUCCCCUACGCCGGAUCCGAGGCGGCCUCGGCCCCUCCCACGCCGCCCAAUCCUCUCCUACGCUAGACCCGUCGCCGCCCCUCCUCGCCGGCCCACUCUCCCCUGGCGAUGGAUCCGGGCACCACCGCCAGGCCGCACACGGGAGGCGACGAAUCGGACCUCCACCGCCACGCUCGUGAAUGGCCUGACCAAUUUGUGCACGACCUUCACCCAUCGGGCCGCCCCUCGCCGGCGUCUUCCUCAGAUCGAGGACGACCGCACCGCCGCCACGAGCUGCAGUCCCGGGGAGCAACCAACUCCACUCCGGUAUGUGCUCCGGCCAGCAGCUCCCUCCUUCCCCCUCCAUCCCCCGAUCUGAUCUUCUAGACGACCAUGGAAGCUACCAUGCCUCGUGAGCUGACCAAAUCACCCCCGCGCCGAUUACUUCUUCGGGUUUCCGGUUCGUGUUGUUCGUUUGUGCUCCAUGUGUGGUUCAUUUUCAAGAUCCCUGGCUGCCUCGAUCCGGAUCCAGUACCUCCGCCCUGACCCGCGCCUCCGGCGGCCUUGCAAUCAUUGUCGGCUAGGAAUGAGCCUCCAUGAUUGCCGGUUUGGGACUCGUCUGCGCCAAGCGGGAUGGAGCACGGGCCGCGCCUUGCUUUCAGUUCACCGAGCACCGAUAGGAGAACGACGGCAAGCCGUUCGGCAGCAUGCCCGCUUGCAGUUCCUUCGGCAGCACGCCCUCAGGGACGAAAUGCAACCGGCCAUGACAUGGGAAGACGACGGAUUAAGAUCUCUAGUGCAAGGGCGCGUGUAGUUCAGCCCUGCAGAGACGAGUAGUGCACUUGGCGGAGACGCGCCCAAAGUCCCAGGUCAGGGCUCCCCCCGCCCGCCUGCGUCCACACCCAUCUGCAGCCACGGUAUCUCACAGGGAAAAUCGUCCCUUACCCCUCUCCCUCCUCCUUGGCUCCCGUGUGCAGUGAGCAGUGCAGAAGGACCGCCGGCGGCCGCAUAGGAGCAGUGCAGUUUUUCAGCAGCGGACGACGCGUGCUGGAUGUGUGUUUUUGAGAUGUGUGUGCGGGCAUAUCAGAAGUUCGUUUCCGCUACCUGGGAGGUUCAUUGUGCAUAUUUUUGAACUAUUUCAUACAACAAGAAAUUAUAAGGUACCUCCAAGGACGGCUUCUAUACUUGGUUCCAUUGAAAAAAUGGGUGCUGCUAGUGCAAGUUCGGGUACAUGCCUGGGCAUGGAAUUUGACUCCUCCAACAUGCAGUUCGGUGUGGGAGGAAAAAAUGGACCCAAUUGCUUUUUAAUUUAGUUUUUAAGGAUUUUUUCCGCAAAAAAUGAGGACUCUAUUUGUAUUUUUUUUAAAUCACUACAUUUCAUUUUGUAGAAGAGUUGAGUGGCACCCACACCCUCACCCCUGCUCGACCUUCUUCCUACUCUCCCUCCACCAUCGUGGCUUCCUCCAUGAGGCAUGUUCGUCCCCUCCCGCACUGCAUCGCCAUGCAAGCCACACUGCAUCACCAUGUGAGCCGCACUGCAUCACUCUUUGAGAGGUUCGCUACUCUGUCUACUGUGCUUCACUCUGUUCCUUGUGAUCCAAACUAGAAGAGACACAAUGAAAGUGUACCCUGCUAGUAUGGGAGUGGGUGGUUCACUUCGGUGGGCCUAGAGGUUCACUCAAUAAAAAACUGCAUCUCGCUAUGUAAUAUUUUCUAUACAAACAACGGUGCACAAUGUUGCUCGUCGGAUGCAGUGCGGUUUUCAGUCUGAUGCAGUGCAGUUUUUUGCCCGAUAUAGUUCA